AGUACUUGUAUGACUGGAGUCAGGACAGGGGAGGGAAGAUACUGGAGCUUCUCAUUUACAUAACUCAUCUCUACGAACAUCCUGUGCUCAGAGAGGGGGUGCAGCACCACGGCACUAACUACUACUAUGUGUAUACAAAUGGAAGUCAAGCAUUCAGAGGAUUUUUUCCUCCCUAACGUGUUAACAAAAACGGUCUUAAGAAGCAGAGGUUAGAG
rnacentral:lncRNA from 1 species